AAAAUAGUACUCACAAACAUAUUAUUGUCAUGAAGAUUAAAUGAGUUAUAACAUGUAAAUAAUUUUAAAAAGUGCCUUAGAACUUCAUUCUUAAAGUUUAGCUAUAAUUAAUAUUCACACAGUCACUUGAUUAUUGGAUCUAUCAUUAAUUUUAUGUUCCUCAAUUUUUAUUUUUAAGAAAAUUUACAAUAAAGUAAAUGGAUUACAGAUCUACUCUGUUUGUGGGCCUGCAAUGCAUAGAUGGAGAGCAAAAUCUCACAUUCCAAGGUAUCUACCAUUUAUGUGGAGGUAGAGACUUAACACAUUUACUUAUAAAUGAAUAAUUUAAAACUACUAUAUAUUUUUUAGAUAGUAUGGACAUCUUAAACAAUUAAUGAUAUAACACAGCAAAAAUGUUAUGAUGGCUAGAAAUUAAAUGACAGACCCAAAUGUAUUUUUGACUUUUUAAAUUCUGUUCAAAUUUGAAUGGGAUUAAAUUACAUUUUCCUUUUUUCACAAAAAUAUGUAUUCACCAUGCUUUAAAAUCAGGUGAUUCAAAAGCCUUUAGGAAUGAUUGCAGUGUAUUUCAAUGAGGGAAAACACAUAAAGCUAUCACUGGGGAUAAUCACCAGCAUUGGCGCUGACACUGGUUAGGUAGUGCCAACAUAUUUGGGUUUCCACACCAUUUCCCACUAGGCUGGUAGUAAAGUAAGUGUUAAAGACAUAGGGACCUAAUAUCUCUCUUUUGAAAACUUUCCCCAAAUGUACGAUUCCAUCUUAUGUGGAUUCUAGCAUGGUAAGUCUUGAGGGUUGGUUUUUUUUUUUUUUUUUAAUCCAAGGACGGUAAAAAAAAAAGAAAAUGUGAAUUAUAGCUUGGUAAUUGUAUGAGUUUAUUUAAUUAUGUUUUAAAAUGCUUUAAAGUCUUUAAAUGGCCAAUCAAAAUUUGUGAUUUUCCCAUUUGUGAAUCAGUAUUCUAUGUGACUGCAGAGGGCGGGGGAUAAUUUUGCAUUGUUUGUUUGGGUUUUCCAGUUACAAGAGUUUAGUUUUUCUACUAAUUUGAUUUAAUUUCUUUUUGUCUGUUGUAUUUUCAGUUUAGCUAAUGUUGCUGGUCCCUUCCUCUCUUCUACACAGAAAUGCUAAAAUAUAUAAGACCCUGAAACUAAGCCAGUCACUUCCUGAUUCCUAGUUCUUUCCUAAUUUUUUUUUCCUGUGCUGAUGAAUAUUCUGGAAAAGGUAGACUAAAUUAAUUUCUUUCAAAGUUUUCUUUCAUUUCCAUCAUCUGAGUGAAAACACUGUUAUCUAAGGGCACUAACAAUUUAUUAGUGAACAAACCCACAGACAUUUUCUUAGUCUCAUUCUACUCAGCUUUCAUGUAUACCUUUAAUAAAUAUUUGUAAUCUCUGUACCAUAAUCCAUGUAUUUCACUAGUCACUGGAAGUGACUGAAAUUGGUGAAUAAGGUAGAAUUGAGUCUGUUCAUUUAUGGAGUUUUGGAACAGUUAGGGGGGUGAAGUAAAUGUUGGAGAUCUAUCUUAGGUAAGAUGGUCAUUUCUGAGGGGAUUGUAUUUGAGCUGAAAACUGAAAAAUAAGAAAGAAACUGCCAUUUGUUUUUGGAAAACUGCAUCCCUGAAAAGGAACAGAAGAAAUGGACCUUGAGGCACAAAGGAGUUACACAUGUUGGAAUAACUGCAAGAAGAAAACUUAGGGAGACAUUUGUCUUCCUUGGCCUUGUUAAAACUUAACAUUGGUUUAGUGACGCAGUACUCUGCUGAUUCUCUGAUCUUCUGAUAAUCUUUUCUUUAGUUCUUGUCUUCUGUGUAGGCAUUUUCUUUCCAGGCAAGAGAAAGAAUAAGUAGACCAUAAAUGCUUUGCUGGGAGCUUAAUGACUCGAAAAGACCUGAGUUUUAAAAAUUUGACGAUUCAAGGAAUAAAAUGUG